UGAAGGAGGACAUGACUCACAGAGAGGUUGGGUGUGGGAAAGCUGGGUUAGUGAGAGCAGAUGUGGGAAGGGAGUGAUUGUUCACAGGCCUGCGUGUGUGUGUGUGUGUGUGUGUGUGUGUGUGUGUGUGUGUGUGUGUGAGGGGGGGGUGCACACAUGCACUAGGCUGGCCAAUCGGCACAUGGCCUGGAUGGUGGCAGAGGCACCUGGGACCAGCGCUUCUCCAGGAGUCUGUCCUCACAACACUUCUAAAUCUCGGAGCUCUUCCCCUAGACCGUGAGCCCUGUUGAGGUCUCAGCACAGCCUUAAUCACCAAGUAAGUUCUGAAUGUGAAGAAAUGAAGGCUCUGGAUCCAAGAGAUUUGGCCAAGAUCAUGAUCAGUCACUGAUAAAGUUAGGGCUGAGCCCAAGCCUCUGGACCCCAGGAAAGUGGAAGAAGACAAGGAAUAAAUGAAAGUGAUUGCCAGGACCACAGAAGAGAAUCCACCGAAUUCCUCAGCUAACAUUCCAUUGGUGACAACCGAAGAGUGUACUGUGCACACACAGGACUGCAUGCUGGCCACUGUGCAAGGCAUGCAGCCUACAGGAACCAUGAGAGACAGGCUGGGCACUGGAGGAAACCCUAGUAAUGGAAAUUGCAGCAUGUCAGAACAGCUUAAUAUGAUUCAAACAGCCCUGGAAUCGACUGACACCACCUUCCUUCUCAGCCUUCCGUCUGUCCCUCCACCUGCCACCCCAAACUCCCCUGCUCCUUGCUUCACACACACAAAACAUCAGUUUUCCCACUAGGCUCGACCCAGCUCCCUGUCACAGACAAUGACAGAACCCUGUCAGGUUGCCUUCCUGAGGUGGAGUGACAGGAUUGGGGACAGCUAUUUCAAAUGAGGUCAGAUCCCAAGUCUAUCCAGGUCAGGAUGGCCUGGGAUGAGGACUGAGAUGAGACCCCAGCAAGACUUCAGAGUUGGGUGUGUCAGCACACGACCUGGAAUCCCAGGACUCGGAAGGCAGAGACAGGAGGGCUGAGUGAGGAUUGCUAUAAUCCAAGGCUAGCCUGGUCUACAAAAGGAGUUCCAGGCCAACUAGGGCUAUAUAGAAAGACCCCAACUCAACCAAGGGAAACAAAAGAGAUUUCAGCUAGGCACAGGCCAGGGAGGUGUGAGACUGCACCUCGUGCCUGCAGCCGCACCUCCAGGUGCCAUUGAAACAGAGGAGGACUGCCCUGGGCCUUCAGGAUUCUCAGAGGCCAGAGGGGAGUUCAGAGUGUGGUCAAGGCUAAGGCAACAUGAAUCCAUAGUCAACAGUCUUAGGACUUAAGGACAAUUAAAAAAAUCUAUUGCUGAGGGCACAAAGAGAUGGCUCUUAACACUGCACCCUUGGCUCUAAAAGUUUACGUGUAUUUAUUUUGUUUGCACAUGUGUGUGACUGCAUGAGCCAUUUCCACGUGUGAAGUUCAAAGGACAACUGUGAGGACUCAGUCUGGACCCACUGCUCGAGUGUGUGUGAGUGUGUGUGUGUGCACACUCAUGCGAGUGUGAUGUCUCAGGGAUGGAGUUUAGGCUGUGAAGCUUGGCAGAAGUGCCUGUACAGCUGAAGCUCACUGGCACACACUUGCCAUUUCUGGAGGGCAAGCUGGUUAAAAAAAAAAAAGGAAGGAAAUCAAAAGCCUUUACAUUUGAAAUAGACACUUUCAUCUUAAAAAAAAAGAUUUAUUUAUUUAUUUUAUGUAUAUGAGUACACUGUAGCUGGACAGAUGUUUGUGAGCUUUCACAUGGUUGUUGGGAACUGAAUUUGAUUUGUAGGACCUCUGAUCGCUCCUGUUGGCCCCGGUCAACGCCGCUAGCUCUGGUCCAAAGAUUUAUUUAUUAUUAUACAUAAGUACACUGUAGCUGUAUUCAUACACACCAGAAGUGGGUGUCAGAUCUCAUUACAGAUGGUCGUGAGCCACCAUGUGGUUGCUGGG
rnacentral:lncRNA from 1 species